rnacentral:rRNA from 1 species
GAUGAACGCUGGCGGCGUGCCUAAUACAUGCAAGUCGAGCGAACAGACGAGGAGCUUGCUCCUCUGACGUUAGCGGCGGACGGGUGAGUAACACGUGGAUAACCUACCUAUAAGACUGGGAUAACUUCGGGAAACCGGAGCUAAUACCGGAUAAUAUAUUAAACCGCAUGGUUCAAUAUUGAAAGACGGUUUUGCUGUCACUUAUAGAUUGAUCCGCGCCGCAUUAGCUAGUUGGUAAGGUAACGGCUUACCAAGGCAACGAUGCGUAGCCGACCUGAGAGGGUGAUCGGCCACACUGGAACUGAGACACGGUCCAGACUCCUACGGGAGGCAGCAGUAGGGAAUCUUCCGCAAUGGGCGAAAGCCUGACGGAGCAACGCCGCGUGAGUGAUGAAGGUCUUCGGAUCGUAAAACUCUGUUAUUAGGGAAGAACAAAUGUGUAAGUAACUAUGCACGUCUUGACGGUACCUAAUCAGAAAGCCACGGCUAACUACGUG